UACGUAGGUGGCAAGCGUUGUCCGGAUUUACUGGGCGUAAAGAGCGCGCAGGCGGUCGUUCAAGUCGCGUGUGAAAGCCCCCGGCUCAACUGGGGAGGGUCACGCGAUACUGAUCGACUCGAAGGCAGGAGAGGGAAGUGGAAUUCCCGGUGUAGUGGUGAAAUGCGUAGAUAUCGGGAGGAACACCGAUGGCGAAGGCAGUUCUCUGGGCCGUAACUGACGCUGAGGAGCGAAAGCGCGGGGAGCGAACAGG
rnacentral:rRNA from 1 species